GAUGAACGCUGGCGGCGUGCCUAAUACAUGCAAGUCGAGCGAACGGACGAGAAGCUUGCUUUUCUGAUGUUAGCGGCGGACGGGUGAGUAACACGUGGAUAACCUACCUAUAAGACUGGGAUAACUUCGGGAAACCGGAGCUAAUACCGGAUAAUAUUUUGAACCGCAUGGUUCAAAAGUGAAAGACGGUCUUGCUGUCACUUAUAGAUGGAUCCGCGCUGCAUUAGCUAGUUGGUAAGGUAACGGCUUACCAAGGCAACGAUGCAUAGCCGACCUGAGAGGGUGAUCGGCCACACUGGAACUGAGACACGGUCCAGACUCCUACGGGAGGCAGCAGUAGGGAAUCUUCCGCAAUGGGCGAAAGCCUGACGGAGCAACUCCGCGUGAGUGAUGAAGGUCUUCGGAUCGUAAAACUCUGUUAUUAGGGAAGAACAUAUGUGUAAGUAACCGUGCACAUCUUGACGGUACCUAAUCAGAAAGCCACGGCUAACUACGUG
rnacentral:rRNA from 1 species